GAUCCGGUGGUUCUGCGUGGAAGGGCCAUCGCUCAACGGAUAAAAGCUACCCUGGGGAUAACAGGCUUAUCUCCCCCACGAGUCCACAUCGACGGGGAGGUUUGGCACCUCGAUGUCGGCUCAUCACAUCCUGGGGCUGUAGUAGGUCCCCAGGGUUGGGCUGUUCGCCCAUUAAAGUGGUACGCGAGCUGGGUUCAGAACGUCGUGAGACAGUUCGGUCCCUAUCCGUCGCAGGCGUAGGAAAUUUGAGAAGACCUGUCCUUAGUACGAGAGGACCGGGAUGGACGUACCUCUGGUGUACCAGUUGUCCUGCCAAGGGCAUGGCUGGGUAGCUAUGUACGGAAUGGAUAAGCGCUGAAAGCAUCUAAGCGCGAAG
rnacentral:rRNA from 1 species